GAAGUUGGCUGGGCAGUCGCUGGUUACGCUCCUAAAGGGGCGUGACGGGAGGAAGGUCCGGGCUCCACAGAGCAGGAUAGCGGCUAACAGCCGUCCGCCGAAAACGGGGGUGAAAGCCACCGCAUAAGGCGAGGACUAGGGCCACAGAGACGAGCGUAUUAAGUUACGGUGAAACGCGGCAACCUCUAUCCGGAGCAAUACCAAAUAGGCAUGCGCAGUGAGCGAGUAAUCGCUCACCUAAGGCGGCUCGUCGGAGCAUGCGGGUAGGUAGCUUGAGCGCGCGGGUAACUUCGCGCCUAGAGGAAUGACCGCCACGGGCAUCGGGCAACCGGCGCACGAACAGAACCCGGCCUACAGGCCAGCUUUGCAC
rnacentral:RNase_P_RNA from 1 species